rnacentral:rRNA from 1 species
CAGCAGCCGCGGUAAUACAGAGGGUGCGAGCGUUAAUCGGAUUUACUGGGCGUAAAGCGUGCGUAGGCGGCUUCUUAAGUCGGAUGUGAAAUCCCUGAGCUUAACUUAGGAAUUGCAUUUGAAACUGUCAGGCUGGAGUCUUGUAGAGGGGGGUAGAAUUCCAGGUGUAGCGGUGAAAUGCGUAGAGAUCUGGAGGAAUACCGGUGGCGAAGGCGGCCCCCUGGACAAAGACUGACGCUCAGGUGCGAAAGCGUGGGGAGCAAACAGGAUUAGAUACCCGAGUAGUCCCUGUCUCUUAUAC